rnacentral:rRNA from 1 species
CCUACGGGAGGCAGCAGUGGGGAAUAUUGCGCAAUGGGCGAAAGCCUGACGCAGCGACGCCGCGUGAGGGAUGAAGGUCCUCGGAUCGUUAACCUCUGUCAGCAGGGAAGAACGGUCAAUGUGCUAAACCACAGUGAAUUGACGGUACCUGCAAAGGAAGCACCGGCUCACUCCGUGCCAGCAGCCGAGGUAAUACGGAGGGUGCGAGCGUUAAGCGGAAUUAAUGGGCGUAAAGCGCGCGUAGGCGGUAUGGCAAGUCACGGGUGAAAUCCGCGCGCUCAACGUGGGAAGUGCCUUUGAUACUGGGAAACUAGAGUGUGGGAGAGGGUAGUGGAAUUCCAGGUGUAGCAGUGAAAUGCGUAGAUAUCUGGAGGAACAUCAGUGGCGAAGGCGGCUUUCUGGCACAUAACUGACGCUGAGGAGCGAAAGCGUGGGUAGCAAAAAGGAUUAGAUACCCUUGUAGUC